AAAAUAAAGUAAAAAUGAAUAUUAUUGAAAAGUUAAUGAUUUUGCACAAGUAAGAUAUUUUAUAAAAUGCUUAAUUAUUUUUUAUUAUAAAAAGUAACUGCAUCGGCUGAGUGCGGUGGCUCACGACUGUAAUCCCAGCACUUUGGGAGGCCGAGGCGGGUGGAUCACAAGCUCAGGAGUUCAAGAUCAGCCUGGCCAAGAUGGUGAAACUCCGUCUCUACUAAAAAUAUAAAAAUUAGCCAGGUGUGGUGGUGGUUGCUUGUCAACCCAGGUACUCGGGAGGCUGAAGCAGAGAAUUGCUUGAACCUGGGAGGCAGAGGUUGCAGUGAGCCAAGAUCGUGCCACUGCACUACAGCCUGGGCAACAGAGCAAGACUCUGUCAAAAAAAAAAAAAAAAGGAACUGUAUCACCAAAAAGGUGAAAAAAAAAACCAAACACUAUACUAUGAUCUUAAUAUAACCACAAUUUUUGUUUUUUUAGACGGAGCUCUGUCGCCCAGGCUGGGGUGCAUUGGUGCAAUCGAGGCUCACUGCAACCUCCACCUCCUGGGUUCAAGCAAUUCUCCUGCCUCAGCCUCCCGAGUAGCUGGGAUUACAGUAAUCUCCGAUAAUACCCAAAUGGGCUUUUUAUUUUAAACAUCUGGACAGCCUUAUGGUGGUUGAGAAUUAAGGUGCUGAGUGAAGAAAACAGCGCAGUCAUAAAGUCUGUCGGAUAAACAAAGCUUUCUCUGGAACAUUAACUCCUUUCCUGAGAAAUCUUCUCUGUUCCUCACAACGCACUGAGUAACUUUACAUCUUCAUCUCCAGGUACCGCUUUUCCUUUGCAAAUACUCUCACGGCAUUUAAUGGGGUUAUUACGGUAGAAAACUACGGGAUAUUAGCAUAAAAAGAACAUUGGCGGAAAAAAAAUGCAAAAUGCUUUAUCUCACACACACUCUCACCACCCCCAUGCCUUUGGAGUUUGCUUUUGUUUUAUAACAGCAGAUAUUCCCAUUGUGGAUGGUAAUUUUUGCUAGAUAAUAACUCCGUUGAUACCGUCACACACUGGCAAAAGGUGUGUAACUCAGGAAGGGGAGAGAGACUGGAAUGGAAUAUAAUCAGAUAGUUUUAUUUGUUUUUAAUACACAGCCAUUCAAUAAAUAAAGGUGUUGGGUUUUAU
rnacentral:lncRNA from 13 species